rnacentral:rRNA from 1 species
AUUGAACGCUGGCGGAAUGCUUUACACAUGCAAGUCGAACGGCAGCACGGACUUCGGUCUGGUGGCGAGUGGCGAACGGGUGAGUAAUGUAUCGGAACGUGCCCAGUCGUGGGGGAUAACGUAGUGAAAAUUACGCUAAUACCGCAUACGAUCUAUGGAUGAAAGCGGGGGAUCGCAAGACCUCGCGCGAUUGGAGCGGCCGAUAUCAGAUUAGGUAGUUGGUGGGGUAAAGGCCCACCAAGCCAACGAUCUGUAGCUGGUCUGAGAGGACGACCAGCCACACUGGAACUGAGACACGGGCCAGACUCCGACGGGAGGCAGCAGUGGGGAAUUUUGGGCAAUGGGCGAAAGCCUGAUCCAGCCAUUCCGGGUGCAGGAUGAAGGCCCUCGGGUUGUAAACUGCUUUUGUACAGAACGAAAAGGUUUCUACUAAUACUAGGAGCUCAUGACGGUACUGUAAGAAUAAGCACCGGCUAACUACGUGCCAGCAGCCGCCGUAA